rnacentral:rRNA from 1 species
GAUGAACGCUGGCGGCGUGCUUAACACAUGCAAGUCGAACGAAGCAUUUGCGACAGAUUUUUUCGGAAUGAAGUUGCUUAUGACUGAGUGGCGGACGGGUGAGUAACGCGUGGGUAACCUGCCUUGUACUGGGGGAUAGCAGCUGGAAACGGCUGGUAAUACCGCAUAAGCGCACAAUGUUGCAUGACAUGGUGUGAAAAACUCCGGUGGUAUAAGAUGGACCCGCGUCUGAUUAGCUAGUUGGUGAGAUAACAGCCCACCAAGGCGACGAUCAGUAGCCGACCUUAGAGGGGGACCGGCCACCUUUGGACUUGGACCCCGGCCCGGCCCCUACCGGAGGCAGGAGGUGGGAAUAAUUCACAAUUGAGGAAACUCUGAUGCAGCGACGGCGCGUGAGUUAAGAAAUUAUUCGGUAAGGAAAGCCCUAUCAGCCGGGAAGAUAGUGACGGUACCUGACUAAGAAGCUCCGGCUAAAUACGUG